rnacentral:rRNA from 1 species
UACGUAGGGUGCAGGCGUUAAUCGGAAUUACUGGGCGUAAAGCGUGCGCAGGCGGUUUCUUAAGUCAGAUGUGAAAGCCCCGGGCUUAACCUGGGAACUGCGUUUGAAACUGGGAGACUGGAGUGUGGCAGAGGGGGGUGGAAUUCCACGUGUAGCAGUGAAAUGCGUAGAUAUGUGGAGGAACACCGGUGGCGAAGGCGGCAUCCUGGACCGAGAUUGACGCUGAGGCGCGAAAGCCAGGGGAGCAAACGGG